CAAUAGCGUAUAUUAACGUUGUUGCAGUUAAAAAGCUCGUAGUUGGAUUUCUGGAGGGAGCGUCGGCCCGUAUUUACGAGUGCGUGACGUCUCUGUCCAUCCUUGCGGGAAGGCACGGCAUUGAUUUGUUGUGUCGGAUCGCAUCAUUUACUGUGAAAAAAUUAGAGUGUUCAAAGCAGGCUUUCGCUUGAAUACAUUAGCAUGGAAUAAUAAGAUAGGACUUUGGUGCUAUUUUGUUGGUUGAGCCUAAAGUAAUGAUUAAUAGGGAUAGUUGGGGGCACCUGUAUUGCGUUGUCAGAGGUGAAAUUCUUGGAUUUACGCAAGACAAACAGAUGCGAAAGCGUCUGCCAAGGAUGUUUUCAUUA
rnacentral:rRNA from 1 species